UAUUCUAGGAUAAAAUUCCUGGGUUGACGUACCAUCAUAUAACCUAAGCUUUCAUGUUUAAAAGAAAAUAAAAACACUUCCGAUUAUAAACACAAGUUUAUUUUUCGUUUAGGGUAGGUGUGGAUUGAAAGACGGUCAUAGUGGCUUACAACUUCAAACGUUAAAUGGCGAUUGAAGUUGAAAAUCCUCACAAAGGGUGCGACCCGGGCAUGCCUUAGAUAAUUUGAACCUCGUUGCGCCAAAGCCAGGUAGAACCAGGCACCACCUUUGGUACCAUAUAAAAACCAGGUACACCAUGUACCAUUUACAAACCAGGUACCCAUUUUGUACCAUACACGAACCAGGUACUUCCAUGUACCAUAUGGUACUUCCAUGUACCAUAUACGAACCAGGUACUUCCAUGUACCUUAUACAAACCAGGUACCCCUUUUGUACCAUACAGUAACCAGGUACUUCCAUGUACCAUAUACUUACCAGGUACCCCUUUGGUACCAUACAAUAACCAGGUACUUCCAUGUACCAUAUACGAACCAGAUACCAUUGGCGCAACAUAAACCUAAUAACAACAAAUGUAACCUAUGUAAAUGGUUGAGCAACUAUAAGAACGCCUAGCCCUUUUCGCUCUCUGGCCAAUUCUUAUAUGCUCGAAAAAAUGAACCAGAAAAAAUUGAAUUUUGAACCCACGAGUGUCACCAACCCCGGUAAAUGGCGGCGGCUGGUCAGGGACCCAUGAGUAUGCAAAAAGAUUUAGUAAUUGACAGUUAACAACUCAGUAUGGCAUGCCCUAGUCGCACCCAGACGUAAGAAUUUUCCGCCACAAAAUAACAAAGAAAUAACUUAAAUUUCUUUUUAUUUCCCCCAAAAUUCUUACAAUACUAGAUAUAGAACACGUUCAUUCAAUGAAUCCCAAGGUAAUAUUCCAGAACGGACUGAUCCGUUAUUAUCCGAGAGCAAGCAAUUGUAUCGCGCGCUUAAAGCCCUAAAGACACACACUUCUCUUGCACCAGCAAGCGACGGACAAAUUACUGGGUAACUUCGGGUUAACCUGCCUCUGCUACAACCUAUUAUAUGAUGAAGUUUCCGAUUAUUCUUCCUUAAAAAGAUGACAUUAAUACUGAAUGUGUGACAUGCAAAUCCUGGGUGUAUGACAUAUGACAACGAGCGCCACCUGCAUAAAACCUUAUGGUAUUUCCAUGUACCAUAUACGAACCCGGUACCCCUUUGGUACCAUACACAAACCAGGUACUUCCAUGUACCAUAUAACAACCAGGUACCCUUUUGGUACCAUACAGUAACCAGGUAUUUCCAUGUACCAUAUACCCACCAGGUACCCCUUAGCUAUAAAGACGGAUCCCAAGAUUCCCCUUCUAGCUAAAUCAGUAGCCUUGCCAAUACAAAAACUAUGCGUUUGAAAGUUUUAGUCUUAAACCUACGGAAAGAUGUGCACUUGCGCAAUAUAACCGGAAAUUGAUAUCGAGUAGCGUGAUUACCAUUUUUUUUU
rnacentral:lncRNA from 1 species